GCCAGUGUGGUAUAGUGGUUUGAGUGCUGGACUAUGACUCUAGAGACCAAGGUUCAAAUCCCAGCUUAGCCA